AGGACACUUCCAUUUUUCACUUUCCUUUAUUAGGAUAUCAUCCUUUGGGUGCUUUCCAGUCUACCAGUGAAUGACAAACACUGCUAUAUCGAGAGUGUGAGAAAUUGAAUACCAUACAAGUUGUCAGACAUCUAAGACAGAAGAUCCCUGCAAGCAGUGAGGAGAGAUUGGAUACAUUCAUUGGAAUUACAGUCGUGACAAGCAAUAGGGCUGCCACUGAAGACAACCUUCGUCUGCUUGUUAGUGAAAAACAAAACAGGAGGGAAGAGAAUGGAGGUUGUGAUGUGAUAAGAAGGCAACGAAGAGCUGGAAGCAAACACCAACAACAGAUAAACGACAUGAUUCAAAAACAAAGGGUUUAAAGACACCAGAGAUUGAAUACGACUGUCUCCAGACUCCCAUUUCAUCAACUUUAUCUGAUUUGUUUCCUCAAGGAUACCAUUAGGAGAAAUAUCUAAUGUAAAUGAUGAGUUGAUGGGUGCAGCAC
rnacentral:lncRNA from 1 species